rnacentral:rRNA from 1 species
CCAAUAGCGUAUAUUAACGUUGUUGCAGUUAAAAAGCUCGUAGUUGAAUUUCGGGAUUGACGUGAUGGUCAUGCCUUAAGGGGUAUGAACUGUUACUGUUGAUUUCUCACCUUCUGGAGAAACUUGAUGUCCUUUAUUGGGUGUCUUGCGGAUCCAGGACCUUUACCUUGAAAAAAUUAGAGUGUUUAAAGCAGGCAUUUUUGCUCGAAUACAUUAGCAUGGAAUAAUAGAAUAGGACGGCAUGGUUCUAUUUUGUUGGUUUCUAGGAUCACCGUAAUGAUUAAUAGGGAUAGUUGGGGGCAUUAGUAUUCAAUUGUCAGAGGUGAAAUUCUUGGAUUUAUUGAAGACUAACUACUGCGAAAGCAUUUGCCAAGGAUGUUUUCAUUAAUCAAGAACGAAAGUUAGGGGAUCGAAGACGAUCAGAUACCGUCGUAGUCUUAACCAUAAACUAUGCCGACUAGGAAUCAGACGAUGUUAAUUUUUUAAUGACUCGUUUGGCACCUUACG